rnacentral:rRNA from 1 species
AUAUUGGACAUUGGGCGAAAGCCUGAUCCAGCCAUUCCACGAGUGUGAAGAAGCUCUUCGGGGUGUAAAGCACUUUAAGUUUGGAGGAAGGGUUGUAGGUUAAUACGCUGCUAUUUUUACGUUACCAACAGAAUAAGCACCGAUUAUCUUCGUUCCAGCACCCGCGGUAAUACGAAGGGUGCAAGCGUUAAUCGGAAUUACUGGGCGUAAAGCGCGCGUAGGUGGUUCGUUAAGUUGGAAGUGAAAGCCCCGGGCUUAACCUGGGAAUUGCUUUCAAAACUGGCGAGCUAGAGUACGGUAGAGGGUAGUGGAAUUUCCUGUGUAGCGGUGAAAUGCGUAGAUAUAGGAAGGAACAUCAGUGGCGAAGGCGACUACCUGGACUGAUACUGACACUGAGGUGCGAAAGCGUGGGGAGCAAACAGG